rnacentral:rRNA from 1 species
AUUGAACGCUGGCGGCAUGCCUUACACAUGCAGGUCGAACGGCAGCGGGGGAGAAGCUUGCUUUUCCUGCCGGCGAGUGGCGAACGGGUGAGUAAUACAUCGGAACGUGCCCUGUAGUGGGGGAUAACUAGUCGAAAGAUUAGCUAAUACCGCAUACGACCUGAGGGUGAAAGUGGGGGACCGCAAGGCCUCAUGCUAUAGGAGCGGCCGAUGUCUGAGUAGCUAGUUGGUGGGGUAAAGGCCUACCAAGGCGACGAUCAGUAGCUGGUCUGAGAGGACGAUCAGGCACACUGGGACUGAGACACGGCCCAGACUCCGACGGGAGGCAGCAGUGGGGAAUUUUGGACAAUGGGCGAAAGCCUGAUCCAGCAAUGCCGCGUGUGUGAGGAAGGCCUUCGGGUUAUAAAGCGCUUUUGUCCGGAAAGAAGUGCUCGUGGGUAAACAAUCCGCGAGUGUGACGGUACCAGGAGAAUAAGGUCCGGCUAAUUUCGUGCCAGCAGCCGCGGUAA